UACGUAGGGUGCGAGCGUUGUCCGGAAUUACUGGGCGUAAAGAGCUCGUAGGUGGUUUGUCGCGUUGUUCGUGAAAACUCACAGCUUAACUGUGGGCGUGCGGGCGAUACGGGCAGACUGGAGUACUGCAGGGGAGACUGGAAUUCCUGGUGUAGCGGUGGAAUGCGCAGAUAUCAGGAGGAACACCGGUGGCGAGGCGGGUCUCUGGGCAGUAACUGACGCUGAGGAGCGAAAGCGUGGGGAGCGAACAGG
rnacentral:rRNA from 1 species